rnacentral:rRNA from 1 species
AGUGAACGCUGGCGGUAGGCCUAACACAUGCCAGUCGAACGGCAGCACAGUAAGAGCUUGCUCUUACGGGUGGCGAGUGGCGGACGGGUGAGGAAUACAUCGGAAUCUACUUUUUCGUGGGGGAUAACGUAGGGAAACUUACGCUAAUACCGCAUACGACCUACGGGUUAAAGCAGGGGAUCUUCGGACCUUGCGCGAUUGAAUGAGCCGAUGUCGGAUUAGCUAGUUGGCGGGGUAAAGACCCACCAAGGCGACGAUCCGUAGCUGGUCUGAGAGGAUGAUCAGCCACACUGGAACUGAGACACGGUCCAGACUCCUACGGGAGGCAGCAGUGGGGAAUAUUGGACAAUGGGCGCAAGCCUGAUCCAGCCAUACCGCGUGGGUGAAGAAGGCCUUCGGGUUGUAAAGCCCUUUUGUUGGGAAAGAAAAGCAGCAGGUUAAUACCCCGCUGUUCUGACGGUACCCAAAGAAUAAGCACCGGCUAACUUCGUG